UGCUGGUCCUAUGCUGGUCCAUGCUGGUCCAUACCUUAACCAGCAUAUGCUGUUUUUUUCAGCAGGGAGAGUCAAAGCACAUGGUGAAGAUCGUUCCAUCUGCAAUAAUCCUGUUAUGUUUCGAUUUCUCCUUAGCAAGAACUGCCUGAGUUUGGCUGGCUGUCUAAUUUUGGUUAAGAACACCAAUUGGAGGACAGUACAGCAUGAAAUUGGAAGAUUGUUAUUGACAUUGCAUAGAGAAUUUUCUAUAUACAGUUUUGAAGAAGCUGUGAAACCUGCCAAUUUUCAUAGACUCAUUGGAGCGAUCCAGAGGCUGUCUGGCUAUGAUGACGAGAGUCACUACUACCAAUGCCCAAGCCUUGCGCUAAAACCGGGGCGUUCAAUGAAUAAGAUCUGUGAAAUCAUUCACUGCUGAGCACUGAUGUCUGAGGACAAGGAACUGAUCACGUCAACAGAGACCUUUAAAAAGCUCUACUCCUCAAAGUGGUCUGAGGUGAUCCCGCACACUGAAUGAGGCGAAAUUCAACAAGCCUUUGACGCUGCCUUUUAUUCAAGAUACAGUGCCUACAUCAAUUCCUUGAAAAGACUGCACAUGCUGCAUUUCAGAAAUUAAAAGAGACUGCAUCACCUCAAAGCUAUGCAGAACUAGCCAAAGCGAUGCUCACCAAAAUAAUUUUUGUCAAUUGUAGACACGCAAGGAGAGGUCUCAAAAAUGCCACUCAAAGUAAACAUGCAUAAACACGUGGCUACUCUCUCCCAAAUCCUAAACCUGAAAAACAAUGAAUUAGACCAGGUCACUGAUUUCUUAGGACAUGAUAUCCACCUCCAUCACAACUAUUACAGGCUGCCAGAAGCUACUACUCAGCUGGCUAAAAUUUCAAAAUUACUCUUAACCAUGGAAAAGGGAUGUCUUCCUAAUCUUCAAGGCAAAUCGCUUGAUGACAUUGAGAUCGAAGGUAUGUUCAUCUUAGUGUAGGUAGUACAGUGGAUCUUUUACACUCAUGGGGAGAUUUAAGGAAACUGUGAUCAUAAAGAGUUAUGUGAAAUUAUUUGAUGUGCCAUGCAUCCAUUGAGUACACUGUAGAAUGUAGUCUAAUUUGGCAUGUUUCAUAAAUGACUUUUGAAUAUGGGUUAAACAGAAGUAAGAUGUUCUUGUGUUCUAAAUUUCUCUUUUACAUUAAGAUGAGAUGGAUGAUAUGACGGAUUCUGAUGCCAGUGAUCCUGAUGAAAGUGAAUCGGAGGAUGAUGCUCCUGCUGGAGCUGCAGGAGUCUCCAGUAAUGCUGGAGGCCACGGGAGAGGAUACGUCAUAAUCGAACACGGAGGAGAAAAGCGGCGCGGAUGCUUUCAAAUGGACAGAUGAUCCGACGUGUGUUUAUUCUGUGGAGAGAGACUGAUGAAGAAAUGAUACCAUCAAA